UACGAAGGGGGCUAGCGUUGUUCGGAAUCACUGGGCGUAAAGCGCACGUAGGCGGAUUGUUAAGUCGGGGGUGAAAGCCCCGGGCUCAACCUGGGAACAGCGCUUGAGACUGGCACGCUCGAGUUCGGGAGAGGAUGGUGGAAUUCCCAGUGUAGAGGUGAAAUUCGUAGAUAUUGGGAAGAACACCGAUGGCGAAGGCAGCCAUCUGGACCGACACUGACGCUGAGGCGCGAAAGCGUGGGGAGCAAACAGG
rnacentral:rRNA from 1 species